rnacentral:tRNA from 1 species
GAAGGUAUAGCUCAGUGGUAGAGCUCACACAAGGUCCUGGGUUCAAUCCCUGGUACCACCA